rnacentral:rRNA from 1 species
UACAGAGGUCCCAAGCGUUGUUCGGAUUCAUUGGGCGUAAAGGGUGUGUAGGUGGCGCCGUAAGUCGGGUGUGAAAUUUCGGAGCUUAACUCCGAAACUGCAUUCGAUACUGCCGUGCUUGAGGACUGGAGAGGAGACUGGAAUUUACGGUGUAGCGGUGAAAUGCGUAGAUAUCGAUAAGGAAGACCAGUGGCGAAGGCGGGUCUCUGGACAGUUCCUGACGCUGAGGCACGAAGGCCAGGGGAGCAAACGGG